CGACCUCCUACCGCUGUUGAUUCGAGUUCCGGCGUCGCCGGAUUGAUCUUCGACAACACCAAAUUAAGCUUCACCGCCGUUGAAUCGAGCUUCGACAUUGCCGGAUCAAGCUCCGUCGCUACCGAAUCGAGCUUCGACAUUGCCGGAUCGAGCUCCGCCGCCACCAAAUCAAGCUUUGACGCUGCCGGAUCGAGCUGCGGGGCAAGACAAGGCAAGUAUUGGCAAGGGAAGAAACCCC
rnacentral:lncRNA from 1 species